rnacentral:tmRNA from 1 species
GGGGGUGACCUGGUUUCGACGGGGAUUGGAAGCAAAGGUGGCAUGCCGGGGACGCCAGUUGGCCUCGUUAAAAAACUGGCACUUAUACAAACGCCGAUACUGACGUUUCGUACGCACUAGCAGCUUAAUUGCUGCUACGUCUUGAGUUCCAAUGCCUGUGUGGGCUUAAAGACGUCAUUUUAAUAGGCUAGUUUCGGCAAGAGUUCGUGGUGCCGGAGCGAAACUUAAGCGAAAUCGCCUGUAACAGAUCCUGUCGAUGGGAGCGGUUGCCGGUUAAACUUAAAUACACCGACUAAGCAUGUAGAGGCCUUAUGUGAAAGAUUUUCGGACGCGGGUUCGAUUCCCGCCACCUCCACCA